UACAGAGGUCUCAAGCGUUGUUCGGAUUCAUUGGGCGUAAAGGGUGCGCAGGCGGCGUGGUAAGUUGAGUGUGAAAUCUCGGGGCUUAACCUCGGAACUGCACUUAAUACUGCCAUGCUAGAGGAAUGUAGAGGAGAGUGGAAUUCACGGUGUAGCAGUGAAAUGCGUAGAUAUCGUGAGGAAGACCAGUUGCGAAGGCGACUCUCUGGGCAUUUCCUGACGCUCAUGCACGAAGGCUAGGGGAGCAAACGGG
rnacentral:rRNA from 1 species